UGGGGAAUAUUGCACAAUGGGGGAAACCCUGAUGCAGCGACGCCGCGUGAACGAAGAUGGUAUUCGUAUCGUAAAGUUCUGUCCUAUGGGAAGAUAAUGACAGUACCAUAGAAGAAAGCUCCGGCUAAAUACGUGCCAGCAGCCGCGGUAAUACGUAUGGAGCGAGCGUUGUCCGGAAUUAUUGGGCGUAAAGGGUACGCAGGCGGUUUAAUAAGUCGAAUGUUAAAGAUCGGGGCUCAACCCCGCAAAGCAUUGGAAACUGAUAAACUUGAGUAGUGGAGAGGAAAGUGGAAUUCCUAGUGUAGUGGUGAAAUACGUAGAUAUUAGGAGGAAUACCAGUAGCGAAGGCGACUUUCUGGACACAAACUGACGCUGAGGUACGAAAGCGUGGGGAGCAAACAGG
rnacentral:rRNA from 1 species